rnacentral:rRNA from 1 species
UAGGGAAUCUUCCGCAAUGGACGCAAGUCUGACGGAGCAACGCCGCGUGAGUGAAGAAGGAUUUCGGUUCGUAAAACUCUGUUGUUAGAGAAGAACAGCGCAUAGAGUAACUGUUAUGCGUGUGACGGUAUCUAACCAGAAAGCCACGGCUAACUACGUGCCAGCAGCCGCGGUAAUACGUAGGUGGCAAGCGUUGUCCGGAUUUAUUGGGCGUAAAGCGAGCGCAGGCGGUCAAUUAAGUCUGAUGGGAAGGCCCCCGGCUCAACCGGGGAGGGUCAUUGGAAACUGGUUGACUUGAGUGCAGAAGAGGAGAGUGGAAUUCCAUGUGUAGCGGUGAAAUGCGUAGAUAUAUGGAGGAACACCAGUGGCGAAGGCGACUCUCUGGUCUGUAACUGACGCUGAGGCUCGAAAGCGUGGGUAGCAAACAGG